rnacentral:rRNA from 1 species
AACAGGAUUAGAUACCCUGGUAGUCCACGCCGUAAACGAUGAGUGCUAGGUGUUGGAGGUUUCCGCCCUCUGUGCCGAAGGUAACCCAAUAAGCACUCCGCCUGGGGAGUACGGCCGCAAGGCUGAAACUCAAAGGAAUUGACGGGGGCCCGCACAAGCGGUGGAGCAUGUGGUUUAAUUCGAAGCAACGCGAAGAACCUUACCAGGUCUUGACAUCCCGCUGAUCGAUGUAGAGAUAUGCCUUUCCUUCGGGACAGCGGUGACAGGUGGUGCAUGGUUGUCGUCAGCUCGUGUCGUGAGAUGUUGGGUUCAGUCCCGCAACGAGCGCAACCCUUGUCGUCAGUUGCCAGCACGUAAAGGUGGGCACUCUGGCGAGACGGCCGGUGAAAGCCGGAGGAAGGUGGGGAUGACGUCAAAUCAUCAUGCCCCUUAUGUCCUGGGCUACACACGUGCUACAAUGGCCGGUACAACGGGUAGCGAACCCGCGAGGGGGAGCCAAUCCAAAAAACCGGUCUCAGUUCGGAUCGCAGGCUGCAACUCGCCUGCGUGAAGCUGGAAUCGCUAGUAAUCGCGGAUCAGCAUGCCGCGGUGAAUCCGUUCCCGGGCCUUGUACACACCGCCCGUCACACCACGAGAGUCUGCAACACCCGAAGUCGGUGAGGUAACCUUCGGGAACCAGCCGCCGAGGGUGGGGCAGAUGAUUGGGGUGAAGUCGUAACAAGGUAACC